rnacentral:rRNA from 1 species
AUUGAACGCUGGCGGCAGGCCUAACACAUGCAAGUCGAGCGGAUGAGAGGAGCUUGCUUCUCGAUUCAGCGGCGGACGGGUGAGUAAUGCCUAGGAAUCUGCCUGGUAGUGGGGGACGACGUUUCGAAAGGAACGCUAAUACCGCAUACGUCCUACGGGAGAAAGCAGGGGACCUUCGGGCCUUGCGCUAUCAGAUGAGCCUAGGUCGGAUUAGUUAGUUGGUGAGGUAAUGGCUCACCAAGGCGACGAUCCGUAACUGGUCUGAGAGGAUGAUCAGUCACACUGGAACUGAGACACGGUCCAGACUCCUACGGGAGGCAGCAGUGGGGAAUAUUGGACAAUGGGCGAAAGCCUGAUCCAGCCAUGCCGCGUGUGUGAAGAAGGUCUUCGGAUUGUAAAGCACUUUAAGUUGGGAGGAAGGGUUGUAGAUUAAUACUCUGCAAUUUUGACGUUACCGACAGAAUAAGCACCGGCUAACUCUGUGCCAGCAGCCGCCGUAA